rnacentral:lncRNA from 1 species
CUCCAGAUGACCAGAAAUUCUUGGAGAUUCUCCAGCAUGAAGCAAAAAAAGGGAACUUGUGCUCAUUGUCCUGCACAGCAACCUGGAGACAUCUUUUCUUCUUGAACAUUGGAAAAGGCUUGUGACAUUUAGAGACAGAGAAAUAAAAAUUGUUCUCUGAAGAAUAAUAAGUGAGGCAGUGAUUCUGUUUUCACACCAGAUCCCAGAACACCAGGUCUGGUCAAGCCUGCAGGGAGAAAACUUGUUUCCAAAUCAUGGUUCAGAUCGUCAGACUUAUAAGCAAGUUUUUCCUCCUCUUAUU